rnacentral:rRNA from 1 species
UACGUAGGUGGCAAGCGUUAUCCGGAAUGAUUGGGCGUAAAGGGUGAGCAGGCGGUUCUUCAAGUCAUGAGUGAAAGGCAGAAGCUUAACUUCUGUUGGCUGAUGAGACUGGAGAACUUGAGUACAGGAGAGGGCGGCGGAACUCCAUGUGUAGCGGUAAAAUGCGUAGAGAUAUGGAAGAACACCAGUGGCGAAGGCGGCCGCCUGGACUGAAACUGACGCUCAGGCACGAAAGCGUGGGGAGCAAAUAGGAUUAGAAACCCUAGUAGUCCGCCUGAUGUGCCAGCAGCCGCGGUA